UACAGAGGGUGCGAGCGUUAAUCGGAAUUACUGGGCGUAAAGCGUGCGCAGGCGGUCUUGCAAGACAGAUGUGAAAUCCCCGGGCUCAACCUGGGAACUGCAUUUGUGACUGCAAGGCUGGAGUGCGGCAGAGGGGGAUGGAAUUCCGCGUGUAGCAGUGAAAUGCGUAGAUAUGCGGAGGAACACCGAUGGCGAAGGCAAUCCCCUGGGCCUGCACUGACGCUCAUGCACGAAAGCGUGGGGAGCAAACAGG
rnacentral:rRNA from 1 species